rnacentral:rRNA from 1 species
GACGAACGCUGGCGGCGUGCUUAACACAUGCAAGUCGAACGGAAAGGCCCUGCUUUUGUGGGGUGCUCGAGUGGCGAACGGGUGAGUAACACGUGAGUAACCUGCCCUUUACUUUGGGAUAACUUCAGGAAACUGGGGCUAAUACCGGAUAGGAGCUCCUGCUGCAUGGUGGGGGUUGGAAAGUUUCGGCGGUUGGGGAUGGACUCGCGGCUUAUCAGCUUGUUGGUGGGGUAGUGGCUUACCAAGGCUUCGACGGGUAGCCGGCCUGGGAGGGUGACCGGCGACAUUGGGACUGAGAGACGGACCAGACUGCUACGGGAGGCAGCAGGGGGAAAUAUUGCACAAUGGGCGGAAGCCUGAGGCAGCAACGCCGCGAGCGGGAAGACGGCCUUCGGGUGGUAAACCGCUUUCGCCUGAGACGAAGCGGGAGUGACGGUAAUGGGUAAAGAAGCACCGGCUAACUACGUG